rnacentral:rRNA from 1 species
GACGAACGCUGGCGGCGUGCUUAACACAUGCAAGUCGAACGGAAAGGCCCUGCUUUUGUGGGGUGCUCGAGUGGCGAACGGGUGAGUAACACGUGAGUAACCUGCCCUUGACUUUGGGAUAACUUCAGGAAACUGGGGCUAAUACCGGAUAGGAGCUCCUGCUGCAUGGUGGGGGUUGGAAAGUUUCGGCGGUUGGGGAUGGACUCGCGGCGUAUGAGCUUGUUGGUAGGGUAGUGGCUUACCAAGGCUUUGAUGGGUAGCCGGCCUGAGAGGGUGACCGGCGACACGGGAACUGGAACGCGGUCCAGACUCCUACGGGAGGCAGCAGUAGGGAAUCUUGCGCAAUGGUGGGAAGCCUGACGGAGCGACGCCGCGUGAGUGAUGGAGGUCUUCGGAGCGUAAAACUCUGUUAUUAGGGAAGAACAUAUGUGUAAGUAACUGUGCACAUCUUGACGGUACCUAAUCAGAAAGCCACGGCUAACUACGUG